AUUGAACGCUGGCGGCAUGCCUUACACAUGCAAGUCGAACGGCAGCACGGGGCAACCUGGUGGCGAGUGGCGAACGGGUGAGUAAUGCAUCGGAACGUACCUUUCAGUGGGGGAUAACGUAGCGAAAGUUACGCUAAUACCGCAUAUUCUGUGAGCAGGAAAGCAGGGGAUCGCAAGACCUUGCGCUGAUUGAGCGGCCGAUGUCAGAUUAGCUAGUUGGUGAGGUAAAGGCUCACCAAGGCGACGAUCUGUAGCGGGUCUGAGGGGAUGAUCCGCCACACUGGGACUGAGACACGGUCCAGACUCCUACGGGAGGCAGCAGUGGGGAAUUUUGGACAAUGGGGGCAACCCUGAUCCAGCCAUGCCGCGUGAGUGAAGAAGGCCUUCGGGUUGUAAAGCUCUUUCGGCCGGGAAGAAAUCGCACGGGCUAAUACCCUGUGUGGAUGACGGUACCGGAAUAAGAAGCACCGGCUAACUACGUGCCAGCCGCCGCGGUAAUAC
rnacentral:rRNA from 1 species